rnacentral:SRP_RNA from 1 species
AGACUGUAAUAGUCUAAUAGGGAAGGCGCUCAAACCUGCUUAACCGUCUAUCCCAAUUCUAGUCAUCUUGCACUUCCAGCCCUCUGCCGCGCCUCGCCUAAAUGCUGCAGUAGCCGCUUACUUAUGCAGGUAACUUAUAAUGCUAAAACUUCUGCAGCCCUAAGCACUAGAGAUAACCCUUAAGGGAGGUUUUACUCUAUAGAGAUCUCUCCCCUAUCGUAUAGCAGGUAGGAACAUAUUAAUGUAGAGGGAUUUAAAAUAGCAAAUAGAUAAGAUAGAGCAGCUAACUGUUUUU